CAGUCGCCGCGGGAAUACGGAGGGUGCAAGCGUUAAUCGGAAUUACUGGGCGUAAAGCGCACGCAGGCGGUUUGUUAAGUCAGAUGUGAAAUCCCCGAGCUUAACUUGGGAACUGCAUCUGAUACUGGCAAGCUAGAGUGUGUCAGAGGGGGGUGGAAUUCCGCGUGUAGCAGUGAAAUGCGUAGAUAUGCGGAGGAACACCGAUGGCGAAGGCAGCCCCCUGGGCCAAUACUGACGCUCAUGCACGAAAGCGUGGGGAGCAAACAGGAUUAGAUACCCGGGUAGUCCCUGUCUCUUAUAC
rnacentral:rRNA from 1 species